GCCUGGCUGGCUCACAGUUGGUAGAGCAUGUGACUCUUGAUCUCAGAGUUGUGAGUUCUAGCCCCACAUUGGGCA
rnacentral:tRNA from 1 species